rnacentral:rRNA from 1 species
AUUGAACGCUGGCGGCAGGCUUAACACAUGCAAGUCGAGCGGGGUGAUGGUGCUUGCACUAUCACUUAGCGGCGGACGGGUGAGUAAUGCUUAGGAAUCUGCCUAUUAGUGGGGGACAACAUCUCGAAAGGGAUGCUAAUACCGCAUACGUCCUACGGGAGAAAGCAGGGGAUCACUUGUGACCUUGCGCUAAUAGAUGAGCCUAAGUCGGGUUAGCUAGGUGGUGGGGUAAAGGCCUGCCAAGGCGACGAUCUGUAGCGGGUCUGAGAGGAUGAUACGCCACACUGGAACGGAGACACGGGCCAGACUCCUACGGGAGGCAGCAGUGGGGAAUAUUGGGCAAUGGGGGGAACCCUGAUCCAGCCAUGCCGCGUGUGUGAAGAAGGCCUUAUGGUUGUAAAGCACUUUAAGCGAGGAGGAGGCUCUUUUGGUUAAUACCCAAGAUGAGUGGACGUUACUCGCAGAAUAAGCACCGGCUAACUCUGUGCCAGCCGCCGCGGUAAGA